rnacentral:rRNA from 1 species
CCAGACUCCUACGGGAGGCAGCAGUGGGGAAUAUUGCACAAUGGGGGAAACCCUGAUGCAGCGACGCCGCGUGAGUGAAGAAGUAAUUCGUUAUGUAAAGCUCUAUCAGCAGGGAAGAAAAUGACGGUACCUGAAGAAGAAGCCCCGGCUAACUACGUGCCAGCAGCCGCGGUAAUACGUAGGGGGCAAGCGUUAUCCGGAUUUACUGGGUGUAAAGGGGGCGCAGACGGCGAUGCAAGCCAGGAGUGAAAGCCCGGGGCCCAACCCCGGGACUGCUUUGGAAACUGUGUAACUGGAGUACAGGAGGGGCAGGCGGAAUUCCUGGUGUAUCGGUGAAAUGCGUAGAUAUCAGGAGGAACACCGGCGGCGAAGGCGGCCUGCUGGACUGAAACUGACGUUGAGGCUCGAAAGCGUGGGGAGCAAACAGGAUUAGAUACCCGUGUAAU